ACGACGUCGCAGAGUUCAUGACUGAGGACUCGGCCGCUGCGUCGUCAAACUUCGAGGGAGGGGAGGGAGUUUCGAAUUACACUGGAUCUUCCAAACAAAGUGCUUUGUAAUUAAUCAAAGACUCGCCCAGGCACCCUAUUGGCUUCCUUUCUGACUCUGUUGGCGAUGUUUUGGUGGCCUCAGUUUGGUAAAGAAUGUUAAUUGAUUCUUAUUAUGUUUCAACAAUUCAUCUAAUAAUUCGUUGUUGUUUUAUCGUCAAUGUCUUAGAUUACCGUGAUGAUAUUUUUUUAUAAUAAGUGAAGCGAUUAACUUGUUGAACAAAUUAAUUUUAUUGAUAAGUUUCACCUUUCUAGCAAAUGUUCCAAAUAUUCAUCUUUUUUUGUUCAUAUUCCCUAAUUAAAAGUCAGUGCUUGUUGAGAGAAUUAAACCAGCAUCGUUCCAAUGUUUACUAGAUCAAGACGGAUCAGAGACCCCAAGAUCAUGAUUCAAAAGGGUUAACUCCACCAGUUUAAUUUAGUCAUCAAUUUAUCAAUCAUCUCCAACAAUAGUUAAUGUUUCAUACAUUUUAUAUGAAAUUGUACUUGGGAAGAGAAUGAAGCAAAGACUAAGUUUCUUUCUUUUUCCCCUAAAAGUUAAAUCUUUCUUGUUUUCGUUGCUUCUAUCCUGAAAGAGUGGCCUGGUCUAUCCAUUGGGUCGUUCUGUAGAGAGAAGCAUAGAUUUAUUAGUCAGUAUUAAACAGCACGGUGUCUUAUUGUUGUCAUCUUGUUACCUGUCUCCUGAUAAAUGUUUUUUAAAAGUUAAAUGAGUGUUUCCUGAUCUACUCUGAUUCACUUAUCCAUUUCUAUUGUAAUAUCCGGUAAAGCAUAGAUUUGUUUGUAUCCCACUGGAUGUUUUUAUAUAUAUAAUAGAACGCUGUUGUUCUAGUGUCCUGCUCUAUCUACUGGUUCAUUAUAUAGAGGGCAGAAUAGAUUUAUUUAUUCAGCAUUAAACAGCAUGGUGUUCUACGAGGGAUAAAGUUUCAUGUGAACUUUUGUGUUCCUAAGAAAAUUGUUAUUGUGAUUUUGACCUUUUUGUUUUGAAUAGACAACUCUGCAGAUUUCUUGGAGGUCAGACUAGGUGGUCGGGGCUUUUGCUUUAGAAGACUGUAAAAAUUGUGCGUUAGAUCAAUUUUAAAUUAUGUAAAAAUUGUGCUUCAGAUUGUCUACUUGUUGAAGUUGUAAAAGUUUACUUGGGACAACUUUCUAGAUUUGUGUAAUUGAGAUUUUGAUGGGCACACAACUCAUAAAGGAAUGAUUUAUCUAA